AGUCGUAACAAGGUUUCCGUAGGUGAACCUGCGGAAGGAUCAUUACCGAGUGCGGGCUGCCUCCGGGCGCCCAACCUCCCACCCGUGACUACCUAACACUGUUGCUUCGGCGGGGAGCCCUCUCGGGGGCGAGCCGCCGGGGACUACUGAACUUCAUGCCUGAGAGUGAUGCAGUCUGAGUCUGAAUAUAAAAUCAGUCAAAACUUUCAACAAUGGAUCUCUUGGUUCCGGCAUCGAUGAAGAACGCAGCGAACUGCGAUAAGUAAUGUGAAUUGCAGAAUUCAGUGAAUCAUCGAGUCUUUGAACGCACAUUGCGCCCCCUGGCAUUCCGGGGGGCAUGCCUGUCCGAGCGUCAUUGCUGCCCAUCAAGCCCGGCUUGUGUGUUGGGUCGUCGUCCCCCCCGGGGGACGGGCCCGAAAGGCAGCGGCGGCACCGUGUCCGGUCCUCGAGCGUAUGGGGCUUUGUCACCCGCUCGAUUAGGGCCGGCCGGGCGCCAGCCGACGUCUCCAACCAUUUUCUUCAGGUUGACCUCGGAUCAGGUAGGGAUACCCGCUGAACUUAAGCAUAUCAAUAA
rnacentral:misc_RNA from 1 species